GACAUCCUACGGGAGGCAGCAGUGGGGGAUAUUGCACAAUGGGGGAAACCCUGAUGCAGCGACGCCGCGUGAGUGAAGAAGUAUUUCGGUAUGUAAAGCUCUAUCAGCAGGGAAGAAAAUGACGGUACCUGAUUAAGAAGCCCCGGCUAACUACGUGCCAGCAGCCGCGGUAAUACGUAGGGGGCAAGCGUUAUCCGGAUUUACUGGGUGUAAAGGGAGCGUAGACGGCAGCACAAGUCUGGAGUGAAAUGCCAGAGCUUAACCCCGGAACUGCUUUGGAAACUGUGCAGCUAGAGUGCAGGAGA
rnacentral:rRNA from 1 species